rnacentral:rRNA from 1 species
CCCAGACAGCCAGGAUGUUGGCUUAGAAGCAGCCAUCAUUUAAAGAAAGCGUAAUAGCUCACUGGUCGAGUCGGCCUGCGCGGAAGAUGUAACGGGGCUAAACCAUGCACCGAAGCUGCGGCAGCGACGCUGAUGCGUUGUUGGGUAGGGGAGCGUUCUGUAAGCCUGUGAAGGUGUGUCGUGAGGCAUGCUGGAGGUAUCAGAAGUGCGAAUGCUGACAUAAGUAACGAUAAAGCGGGUGAAAAGCCCGCUCGCCGGAAGACCAAGGGUUCCUGUCCAACGUUAAUCGGGGCAGGGUGAGUCGACCCCUAAGGCGAGGCCGAAAGGCGUAGUCGAUGGGAAACGGGUUAAUAUUCCCGUACUUGGUGUUACUGCGAAGGGGGGACGGAGAAGGCUAUGUUGGCCGGGCGACGGUUGUCCCGGUUUAAGCGUGUAGGCUGGUUUUCCAGGCAAAUCCGGAAAAUCAAGGCUGAGGCGUGACGACGAGGCACUACGGUGCUGAAGCAACAAAUGCCCUGCUUCCAGGAAAAGCCUCUAAGCAUCAGGUAACAUCAAAUCGUACCCCAAACCGACACAGGUGGUCAGGUAGAGAAUACCAAGGCGCUUGA